rnacentral:rRNA from 1 species
CAGUCGCCGCGGUAAAACGUAGGGUGCAAGCGUUAAUCGGAAUUACUGGGCGUAAAGCGUGCGCAGGCGGUCAUAUAAGACAGAUGUGAAAUCCCCGGGCUCAACAUGGGAACUGCAUUUGUGACUGUAUAGCUAGAGUACGGCAGAGGGGGAUGGAAUUCCGCGUGUAGCAGUGAAAUGCGUAGAUAUGCGGAGGAACACCGAUGGCGAAGGCAAUCCCCUGGGCCUGUACUGACGCUCAUGCACGAAAGCGUGGGGAGCAAACAGGAUUAGAUACCCGAGUAGUCCCUGUCUCUUAUAC